rnacentral:rRNA from 1 species
CUUGCUUCUCUUGAGAGCGGCGGACGGGUGAGUAAUGCCUAGGAAUCUGCCUGGUAGUGGGGGAUAACGUUCGGAAACGGACGCUAAUACCGCAUACGUCCUACGGGAGAAAGCAGGGGACCUUCGGGCCUUGCGCUAUCAGAUGAGCCUAGGUCGGAUUAGCUAGUUGGUGGGGUAAUGGCUCACCAAGGCGACGAUCCGUAACUGGUCUGAGAGGGUGAUCAGUCACACUGGAACUGAGACACGGUCCAGACUCCUACGGGAGGCAGCAGUGGGGAAUAUUGGACAAUGGGCGAAAGCCUGAUCCAGCCAUGCCGCGUGUGUGAAGAAGGUCUUCGGAUUGUAAAGCACUUUAAGUUGGGAGGAAGGGUUGUAGAUUAAUACUCUGCAAUUUUGACGUUACCGACAGAAUAAGCACCGGCUAACUCUGUGCCAGCAGCCGCGGUAAUACAGAGGGUGCAAGCGUUAAUCGGAAUUACUGGGCGUAAAGCGCGCGUAGGUGGUUUGUUAAGUUGGAUGUGAAAUCCCCGGGCUCAACCUGGGAACUGCAUUCAAAACUGACUGACUAGAGUAUGGUAGAGGGUGGUGGAAUUUCCUGUGUAGCGGUGAA